UAUCCGUGGCGUGGACAAUCUCUCUGGUACUCUCUAAUUCUUUCCCAAGCAUCAUAAAGAUCUUCAUCUUUUUUUGUUCAAAAGUUGUUAUCUUGUUCCUUAAGAGA
rnacentral:snoRNA from 1 species